rnacentral:tRNA from 1 species
GAGGGUAUAGCUCAGUGGUAGAGUGUGUGCUUAGCAUGCAGGACGGAGGUCCUGGGUUCGAUCUCCAGUACCUCCA